rnacentral:misc_RNA from 1 species
GAUGAAGAACGCAGCGAAAUGCGAUAAGUAGUGUGAAUUGCAGAAUUCAGUGAAUCAUCGAAUCUUUGAACGCACAUUGCGCCCCUUGGUAUUCCAUGGGGCAUGCCUGUUCGAGCGUCAUUUGUACCUUCAAGCUCUGCUUGGUGUUGGGUGUUUUGUCUCGCCUCUGCGUGUAGACUCGCCUUAAAACAAUUGGCAGCCGGCAUAUUGAUUUCGGAGCGCAGUACAUCUCGCGCUUUGCACUCAUAACGGCGACGUCCAAAAGUACAUUUUUACACUCUUGACCUCGGAUCAGGUAGGGAUACCCGCUGAACUUAAGCAUAUCAAUAAGCGGAGGA